UGCUGUUAAUUUGAUUACAGCUCAAGCAUCGACGUUGAAAGCUGUAGAGAACCAGAUCGACCAGCUGCAGAAAGACAAUGGAAACACAAGAUGACAAAAAUGUGAAGUACGGUUUCCAUUAUUAUAAUUUCAAAAUUAAAAUGUGCUGAAAAUGUUAAAUAGUCUUAUUUGUGCAGUUGUCUCCUACCUGUGAACAGUAGGUACCAGUAAGCUACAAACAUGUUUUGUUUCCUGUUCUUGUCUCUUAUACCUACAAAGGUAGCUUUUUCAGUUGGACUUCAAGGUGAAACUCUUGGGCCACAUGACACCACAAUCAUAUUAGUCGAGAAUAAAGUCAAUAUAGACAUUGGCAACGGGUACAACACAAACACAGGGAUGUGUACAGCUCCAGUUGAAGGAGUUUACUACUUCCCAUUCAACUGCCUCAAGGGGAAAACCAAUAGCAUGAAUGUGAUGGAGGAUGGCACAGCUUUUGGCUAAGAUCACAACUCCAGCGAUGACAUGGCGAGCAACGGGUUCAUCGUGUCCAUGAAGGUCGGAAAUCAGGUCUGGAUGACCCUCAUCAGUCACACUCACAUUCUUGGUGAGGAUCUAUUGACCACAUUCAAUGGCUUUCUGCUCUUCCCCAUGUGACUAGAGAGCCGGUGUGAGAAGGCUAUCCAUUUCACCUUGCAUAUGUGUCUUUACAGCCAAUGUAAGAAAAGUCAUCUUUGCAUUAUACAUGAAUAGCUAACAAAUAAUGUCCGUGCUAUAUUGAAUUUACAUUACAUGUGCAAUAUGUAACACAUCUUUAUUUUUGUUCUGAUUGAAGAUAAUGUAAAGAAAGCAUUUAUUUGAUCAAACAAAUAAAAUAUAUUCACAAUAAGAA